ACUUUUCAUUUUGCACACGUUCACACCACACUUCACACACACAUCACGAUUCAUUCAUUCGAAAAGUGGGGCGCGACAUUCAGCCAUAUGUAUUUCGCUAUUUCCAACAAAUAGUAGGUAAUUAAUUAGUUAAUGUUGAGUCGUUAGUUUCAUACAAUAAAGGUUAAGAUCAUGUUGACUAUAGUUAAGCCAAUUUGAGUUAGUUAAUUUAUUAUUCUAGUGGAAUUAGAGUUUUAGGAAAGUAGUUAAUUGUUUUCAAGUUGUUUUAAAUCUUUGAGUCUUGUAAAAAGUUAUAAAUAAGCCUCAAGUGUCAACGAUUUUUAUAGUCAAGUCAGAUGAUAAAUAAAAUUUGAGAGUUUUCUCUUUCUUGUUCCUUGGGAACGUUCGUUGAUCCAAAGUGAGACAUGUCUCCUUUGUUCAAGUUUUGACUUAUCAAUUCAAGACCACAUUUAAUUGUGGUGACGUUCUACUAAUAAGUCUUGGUUCGCUAAUUCGUUAAGUUGUGAGUCACAAUUAAAUUCAAGAUUCAAAACUUCAGGGAUUAGAGGGGUCGAGGUUUUUUAUCGACUUUGUUCUAUAAUUUAAUCAAGAUAGAUCCUUCCGCUGCCUAUGCAAUUCAUUUUUUCAAGAGCGAAAAUUUGGGGAAUCUGGUUCGCAUCAUACUCCCAUACUCAUAUUCAGCUAUACGUUUGCUACUACGCUACAUGCAUCAUUUCAAUCGAAAAAUGAGUUUGAGGAUGACCUUACUCAUAUCUACAACUUUCUAGGGAUCUGGAUGGGCUUUUCACCUGUUUUUCAGAUGAAAAUCGACCGUGUUCCCGUUCAUGUUCCUUUCUUGACGUUUAAAGAUCGUUGUUGCCUUAGAUACAGUCAGACUCCCAUGGUUAAUCCCUCGAUUGAGGAUGAGGAAGACCAAAUGCUUGAAGGAGUGCAUGCACUAUCUUGGAGGUCCGAACGGCUACAACUGCAGCAAGAUCUACCACACGAGACGGUACUUGGAAAUGUGACUGCUCUACCACUUCGCACGAUAGGAACAAGGGCACGUUGGAAUUGAGGUAAAUUACCAACGUUGGAUCGAGAUGGAUUCAAUUCAAACUUAUUAGUGCUUGACUCAACAGCAAUUUGGGAAGUGGAAGAGCAUCAAAUGCAAGUAUUAUUGGUGAAAUGCAUGAACAAGCACUUGGACAUCUUGCAUGUGAUGAUAGUGAUCAACUGGAGCAGAAAAGAAGCAAGAAAAUGUACCUGAAAGCCAUACGGGACCUCGAAUAUGUGGGCUUAGGUCACGUAUUGUGCCUUUUUUUUUGUAACUUGUUAUGCAAUUUGCUCUGUUUUUACACUGCUUUUCAACUCAAUUUUAGCUCAAAAUUUUGGCUGCACAUGCUCAAGAUUCCUUAGGAAAAAAAAUGAGGUUUAUGUCAUAUCAUUUUUCACUUUUUGACUUUCCUAAUAUUAUAUAUGUAAGAAUCAUUAUAUGCGGUUCUUGGAAAUUCUUGCUAUUUCUUGGUAGAAAUUAGUUGUAGUAUUUUCUUGUUUCUUUAGCUAGAAACUUAUAAGAAAAUUUUGAAAAACUCAUUGUAUCACUCAUUUUGUUGUAAAAAAUAGAAGAUUGGAAUC